UACGUAGGGUGCAAGCGUUAAUCGGAAUUACUGGGCGUAAAGCGUGCGCAGGCGGUUCUGAAAGUCAGCUGUGAAAGCCCCGGGCUUAACCUGGGAAUGGCGGUUGAAACUACAGGACUAGAAUCUGGCAGAGGGGGGUGGAAUUCCACGUGUAGCAGUGAAAUGCGUAGAGAUGUGGAGGAACACCGAUGGCGAAGGCAGCCCCCUGGGCUGAGAUUGACGCUCAGGCACGAAAGCGUGGGGAGCAAACAGG
rnacentral:rRNA from 1 species